CCCUUGGGGGGACUGCGGAGACAUUA
rnacentral:rRNA from 1 species